UCAAUGUCAAUGCCGCCAACGUAAACACUUACUCGAGCAUUGGACCAGAAUUAUAUUUGCAAUUUUUGUGAAUUAGCAACUUGGCGAACUUGGUGAUGUGUUUAUGAAGAUGGUGGCAUAGAGAAUAGAAAUAUUUCAUUGAAUCAGUGCAUUCCAUAAAUUCUAGGAAAAUUUUCAGCUGUCAAUGUCAACAUCUAUAUGAUUAUAGUUCUUAUAGGAUUGAGUAGAUAUCGUGAUAUCGUAUCAUAACGUUGUGCUGUCACCUCAUUUCAUUGUUCUGACACAACUAGAUUAUAUGGGUGCUGGUUAACCACCGUCUUUCACCAUAGACAAAAGUUUAUUUAUUUAUCACAUGCAUGUACGUAUUGCAAACUGCUUAUGUACAUUUCCAGUGUAUAAAGAGAGUCAUCUUCAUAUGACGCAUCGAACCGAAUUAUGUCCCCUUCUUUUAUCGUUGAUAUAAUAAUAAUGCAUUUCCAAUGAAGCAACUGGGUGGAAAAUUCGAACUGACAACUGACACCACAUCAGAAAAGAUAAUGGAUCUAUGCAUGCUUCCUCCUCCAGUGAAGAGAUCCCAUCUCGAGGUCUCAUCCUCAGUUACCUCAACAACAUUAUUAUAAUGCUGAAAAUCUGUGCUAAUCAAACUUAUCGAACCACAAGGCUACUUGGAUAUGCAUAUAAUUGCCGGCUAAUAAAUUCAUUCAAAUGAAUUCAUUCUUAUCUGAAACUUUAGCACUGUUGAUAUUUUGCAUCGAAAAACUCUCAACAAUUGUGCAUUAUUUGAACCAGGUUGAUUAUCCUGACUUUUUUCUCAUUGUUCUUUCUUGGAAGGUGGGUGUGGUCUUUGGGGAAGAAAGAGCCGGCAGAAAAAUCACACGCUCGUAUGCAUGCACAUAUGUAUGUAUAACGGUAUCAAGUCUAAAAUAGUGGAAAAGGACGGAUCGAUAAGCAGCAGCCAGCUCCACUCCGACAACUAAAAACUCCGAAUUUCUACAGAGUAGUCAGUUAUUUGAUUGGGACAGACGGGAGCAAGAAACAGCAGACUAGAGGAGAGGGUGGUGUGUGUGGUGGCAUGCAUGCUUCUGUCUGGAACACUUUGGCUGCCACCGAUUUCUUAUUGUCUUUUGUGCAAGAAGAACCUGAGCCACCCCCAAAACCUCAAUGGAAAGUACCAUCCAUGGUCGUUCAUUGGUGUGGAGAAAAAUAAAAGCGUGCUUCUCCAUGAAAUCAAAAUUUGCCCUAUUGUUUUCAUAAGUGCAUGACUCUCCGCACUCGGAUUCAAGUUGAACCUGGUGCGGUUUCAAUUUUAUCAUGAUUCCUUGAUUUGCCAGGAGGAGUAUGUAUUUGAAGCAGCUCGCUUCCCUGGAUAGUGCACUACUGGAAGAAGAAAUGUACUGGGACCUGGCUGCUGCGUGGCCAUGAUUUAAUAAGUUUUGAUCUGAAUUAAAUUUUCUCCAGGAGGAAUUCUUUCUCACCAUCUUUAGCCUAGAGUACAUAGACUGUUAUACGUAUAAAAUAAAUCACAGUGUACUCAUAAGGACUUAUAUUCCAUUGUUUUUCGUGAAUGGGGCUCACACUUCAUAAAAUUUACAAGUGGUAUAAUAAAAUGACAUUAAAGAAAG